rnacentral:rRNA from 1 species
UACGUAGGGUGCAGGCGUUAAUCGGAAUUACUGGGCGUAAAGCGUGCGCAGGCGGUUUGUUAAGAGAGAUGUGAAAUCCCCGGGCUUAACCUGGGAACUGCGUUUCUAACUGGCAAGCUUGAGUGUGGCAGAGGGGGGUGGAAUUCCACGUGUAGCAGUGAAAUGCGUAGAGAUGUGGAGGAACACCGAUGGCGAAGGCAGCCCCCUGGGCUAACACUGACGCUCAUGCACGAAAGCGUGGGGAGCAAACAGG